CCUACGGGGGGCAGCAGUAGGGAAUUUUCGGCAAUGGGGGGAACCCUGACCGAGCAACGCCGCGUGAACGAAGAAGUUAUUCGUAAUGUAAAGUUCUUUUAACAGGGAAGAAAGAGAAAUUUGACGGUACCUGAAGAAUAAGCUCCGGCUAACUACGUGCCAGCAGCCGCGGUAAUACGUAGGGAGAGAGCGUUAUCGGGAAUUAUUGGGCGUAAAGGGUGCGUAGAUGGCAUAUUAAGUCGUUUGUAAAAAUGCUGGGCUCAACCCAGUAGGGCAAAAGAUACUGUACAGCUAGAGUAUGACAGAGGCAAGUGGAACUACAUGUGUAGCGGUAAAAUGCGUAGAUAUAUGUAAGAACACCAGUGGCGAAGGCGGCUUGCGGGGUCGAUACUGACGUUGAGGCACGAAAGCGUGGGGAGCAAACAGGAUUAGAUACCCCUGUAGUC
rnacentral:rRNA from 1 species